rnacentral:rRNA from 1 species
CCGGGCGCACGGGUGAGUAACACGUAUCCAACCUGCCGAUAACUCGGGGAUAGCCUUUCGAAAGAAAGAUUAAUACAAGAUGGCAUCAUGAGUCCGCAUGUUCACAUGAUUAAAGGUAUUCCGGUAGACGAUGGGGAUGCGUUCCAUUAGAUAGUAGGCGGGGUAACGGCCCACCUAGUCUUCGAUGGAUAGGGGUUCUGAGAGGAAGGUCCCCCACAUUGGAACUGAGACACGGUCCAA